rnacentral:lncRNA from 1 species
GCUUUUAAUAGUUUAUCAAUUAUGUAAUGUUUAGUUUCAAUUUUGUUCUCUUUGACCAGUAAAAGCAGCUUUCUCUUCAAUGCAUCUGGUGGAUAGGCUAUACAGUGCCGAUACAACCAUAUCACAAUGUCAUCUUUUUUCCGUAUCAUCAUCUGGGCUAUACUUUGUAUUGGUUUUCCUUUCAAAGAAUAGAUUCUGUCGUCAGCUACUUCAGAAUCCGACGCCAUUGCUGAACUACUUUCGAACGAAGAAGGGCGGAGCUAAUCAUUCGGCCAAUAAUAACAAUUUCUUGCUAGCGAAAUUUAUUUACAAGCAAAAGAAUACUAAAUUGCUAACCAA